CCUACGGGAGGCUGCAGUGGGGAAUAUUGCACAAUGGGCGCAAGCCUGAUGCAGCCAUGCCGCGUGUGUGAAGAAGGCCUUCGGGUUGUAAAGCACUUUCAGCGGGGAGGAAGGCGUUAAGGUUAAUAACCUUGUCGAUUGACGUUACCCGCAGAAGAAGCACCGGCUAACUCCGUGCCAGCAGCCGCGGUAAUACGGAGGGUGCAAGCGUUAAUCGGAAUUACUGGGCGUAAAGCGCACGCAGGCGGUCUGUCAAGUCGGAUGUGAAAUCCCCGGGCUCAACCUGGGAACUGCAUUCGAAACUGGCAGGCUAGAGUCUUGUAGAGGGGGGUAGAAUUCCAGGUAUAGCGGUGAAAUGCGUAGAGAUCUGGAGGAAUACCGGUGGCGAAGGCGGCCCCCUGGACAAAGACUGACGCUCAGGUGCGAAAGCGUGGGGAGCAAACAGGAUUAGAUACCCCAGUAGUC
rnacentral:rRNA from 1 species